GUUGUAGCUCAGUUGGUUAGAGCGCCAGGUUGUGGCCCUGGAGGUCGUGGGUUCGACCCCCAUCA
rnacentral:tRNA from 1 species